rnacentral:rRNA from 1 species
AACGCGAAGAACCUUACCAAGUCUUGACAUCCCCCUGACCGGUCCGUAACGGGACCUUCUCUUCGGAGCAGGGGAGACAGGUGGUGCAUGGUUGUCGUCAGCUCGUGUCGUGAGAUGUUGGGUUAAGUCCCGCAACUAGCGCAACCCUUAUCUUUAGUAGCCAGCAUGUAGUGGUGGAAGCUCUAGAGAGACUGCCAGGGAGAACCUGGAGGAAGGUGGGGAUGACGUCAAAUCAUCAUGCCCCUUAUGACUUGGGCUACACACGUGCUACAAUGGCGUAAACAAAGGGAAGCAGCCCUGUGAAGGUGAGCAAAUCCCAAAAAUAACGUCUCAGUUCGGAUUGUAGUCUGCAACUCGACUACAUGAAGCUGGAAUCGCUAGUAAUCGCGAAUCAGAAUGUCGCGGUGAAUACGUUCCCGGGUCUUGUACACACCG